GCGGAAGCAGUUCAGUGGUAGAACGCCGCCUUGCCAAGGUGGGGCUGGAAGUUUGAAUCUCGUUUUUCGCU
rnacentral:tRNA from 1 species